rnacentral:lncRNA from 1 species
AGGUGGUUAAUGUAGGGAAUUUAGCUAGAUUUAUAGAAUUUGUUAUUUAUAGAAUUUGUUAAUUACUGUUGAUGUUAAUUUUAAAAAUUAAUUUUUUUUUCCAGACGGUUCGAAAGAACAGACUUACUCCCAACUACAGAGAGAUGUUCGGUGAGCCUGGUAGUCGUUUAGACCCGUCUUCUUCAGCUCUCGGUUCUUCUUCAGCUCCCGGUUCUUCGGG